CCUGGAAACAGAUGCUAAUACCGGAUAACAACAGAUGAUGCCUAUCAACUGUUUAAAAGAUGGUUCUGCUAUCACUCUUGGAUGGACCUGCGGUGCAUUAGCUAGUUGGUAGGGUAACGGCCUACCAAGGCGAUGAUGCAUAGCCGAGUUGAGAGACUGAUCGGCCACAUUGGGACUGANACACGGCCCAAACUCCUACGGGAGGCAGCAGGU
rnacentral:rRNA from 1 species